rnacentral:rRNA from 1 species
GACGUAGGGCGCGAGCGUUGUCCGGAUUUAUUGGGCGUAAAGAGCUCGUAGGCGGUCGUUGCGUCCGGCUGUGAAAGCCCGGGGCUUAACCCCGGGUCGGCAGUGGAUACGGGGCAGGCUAGAGGUAGGUAGGGGAGAAUGGAAUUCCCGGUGUAGCGGUGAAAUGCGCAGAUAUCAGGAGGAACACCGAUGGCGAAGGCAGGUCUCUGGGCCGAUACUGACGCUGAGGAGCGAAAGCGUGGGGAGCGAACAGG